AGUAGGAUAGCUGGGUCAUAUGGUGGUUCCAGUCCUAGUUUUUUGAAGAGUCUCCAUACUGUUUUCCAGAAUGGUUAUACUAAUUUUCAAUCCCACCAACAAU
rnacentral:pre_miRNA from 1 species